CCGCCGUUAUGGCAGGCAGCCCAACUUUGUUUCAUUGAUUUCAGACCUUUGCGCUCCUGUCGCCUUUGUGGAUUUGUAGGGUGGAAGAAAACACAGACAGUCGGACAUUCAUUUAUCCGAAGUGUGGAGAUUAAAAACGAAAACUAAAAAGUUUGAGAGUGAGACUAAACUUUUAUCUGGAGUCAUGUGUCAACGUUAUGAGUGGAGACUAAAGAAAAGGGAGUCAGAGCCGGGAUGUUACUGCGUAAAAGUUCGCAAAAUGUGGGACCACCAACUGAUGGAAGGAGGCAGGGUGAGACGAUACGAGGUGAGAUUAACAAAAAGAGGAUCAAGUGCUAAGGGGGAAGGAGUGACAUCAGCGGUGACAUCAGAAGGGAGAAAGGAAGGUCAGAGAGUGAGAUGCAGAGCGGUGCGCUUGCUGCCUCCUUGUGUUGCUCAACGCUCCAACAGAGCUUCCUGUGCGCGCCGUUUUCACAACAACAUUUUCCAAGGAGCUCCCAACAGUAGUUCAACAAAUGCCGACCGCCAUGAUGUGACGCAGUCAUGUGGGAGCGUCUAGCAGACCAAAAAUAAAGUG